rnacentral:lncRNA from 1 species
ACAGUGGCCCAGGUAGUUGAUGAUGACUGCGACAUGGUAGUGCACCUUGCUUUUUUUCUGGAGCAGGAGAGAGGGGCAGAGAGCCACCAAGGAGCUACUGGCCACCAAGGAGCUACUCCAUAGGCCUUCCUGUUGGAAUUACAGAACCCACUUGAAACCAGAGAUCAAGUCCAGCCCUAUCCACCAGGCAUCCCAGGAGAAGCCAAGACCCUAUGCCCAGUUCCGCCCGGCCACCAAGGCCCUUCUGAAGGAGCACCCUCAUUGGGGAACCUCUCCAGAGGCUGCUACAGAAGCUCUGUUCUUGGAGCUGGUUUCCAGGCAGAGGCUUUCUGGAACAUGGCAGCUGCCCUUGGAGACUGCUCCUCUCAUCCCAGUUCUUUCCGUAGAAGAGACUGAAUAAUUGGCCACGCCACGCAGCCGGUAUCUGGAACCUGGGUCUGCCUGGCUUUAAGCUCCCUCUUUUCCCUGUUUCCCAGGGACAUUUCUUUUUUUGGGUGGGGGAGGGAUGGAG